CUUCUUUUUUUCUCGACCUUUUUUUUUUUGGUUUGAUGAAAUCUCUUUCCUCGACCUUUCCGUGCCCUCAUCCGCACCGCCCCAACCAAAACAAAACAAAAAAGGGAAACCAAAAGCUUUUAACAGACCGAGCGGGGUUUCCAUCUCCUGUCGACUCUGGAAUGGUCGAUUGGAGCUCCAAUCUGGAUGUGAAAAAUUGCAUAUAUGGUCACUGAAGACGAGAAUUUCUGAUUGGAACACGGGAACAUCAAUCGGGCAUCAAACCCUUAUAGGAUGGAUCAGCUUGCAAUGCUUGCGCAGGAGUUGAAUGAUGGUUCAGAUUUCGAAGUUGAUGGUGUCAGAUGUGAAAACCUUACGGAGAACGAUGUUAGUGAUGAAGAAAUUGAGCCAGAUGACUUGGCAAGACGGAUGUGGAAGGAUAGAGUUAAGCUCAAGAGAAUCAAGGAGCGGCAAAAGCUUGCUGCCCAACAGGCUGCUGCUGAAAAGUCCAAGCCCAAGCAGGUCUCUGACCAGGCUCGUAGGAAAAAGAUGUCCAGAGCGCAAGAUGGGAUACUUAAAUAUAUGUUGAAGUUGAUGGAGGUGUGUAAUGCUCGUGGAUUUGUCUAUGGGAUAAUCCCCGAAAAGGGAAAGCCUGUAAGUGGUGCUUCAGAUAACAUACGGGCUUGGUGGAAGGAGAAGGUGAAGUUUGAUAAGAAUGGACCUGCAGCUAUUGCAAAGUAUGAGGCAGAGAAUUUUGCAGCCAAGGGUGCACAGAAUAAUGGAAGCAAAAUUCAGCAUAGCCUUAUGGAUCUUCAAGAUGCUACUUUGGGAUCACUUUUGUCAUCAUUGAUGCAACAUUGCAACCCACCACAGCGUAAGUACCCGUUAGAGAAGGGUGUUCCACCUCCUUGGUGGCCUUCAGGAAAUGAAGACUGGUGGGUAGAUUUGGGAUUGCCUAAGGGUCAAGUUCCCCCCUAUAAGAAACCGCAUGAUCUGAAGAAGGUGUGGAAGGUUGGAGUACUAACUGGUGUGAUCAAACACAUGUCUCCAAAUAUUGAGAAAAUCAAAACUCAUGUCCGGAAAUCAAAGUGCUUGCAGGAUAAGAUGAGUGCCAGAGAGAGCUCUAUUUGGUUAGGAGUGUUAAAUAGAGAGGAAAUGGUUGUUCAUCAGCUCAGCAGUGACAAUGGGAUAUCUGAUGUAUCUCAACAUAGUGGUUGUGAGGAGAGAAGGGAAGAUACAAAUAGUGGUAGUAAUGAAUAUGAUGUUGAUGGUUCUGAAGAUGCUCGUGGUUCUGUAUCAUCUAAAGAUGAUGGGAGAAAUCUACCAUUAAGUGCUCAAACUUGUGGAGAAAAUACCACUUCAAUAGUACGAGGAAACUGUCUGGUUCCAACCAACCAACUUGUUCAAGGAAAGGAGCAAGUACGUGAACAGCCAAAGAGAAAAAGACGUCGAGUAAGUUUAGCAAUUGCUGAUCCCCGAUCAACAGGCGUUCAGAAUGAACACCUACCAGAUGAAUCAAGAAAUGCUAUCCUAGACUUGCCUAUUAGUGGUCAUCAUAUGCCAAAUAUCAACCAAGAGGAUGGCACAAAUCCUGCAGCAGAAUGUCAUGAAGAUUCUAGAAACCAGUACCUUCUUCCUGAACCUGGAAUUAACAACUUGGCAGUCAUCCCUUCUGCUAAUGUCGCAGCACAAAGCAUGUAUGUUGAUGGCCAGCCCUUACUGUAUUCAGGUGUAGGGCAUACUGAGUUACAAUCUGGGACAAUUGUGGGGUCAGGAAUCAAUUUUCAGUUUUUCUCACCAAUGGAAUAUGGGCUAACUCAGGACAAACAGCAGUUCCCUGUUUCUGAUGCUACUGAUAAUCAAGUUAAACCUGAGGGUAUUGGAUUUCCUAUUAAUAAUAAUGUCUAUGGGCAUACACUAGCACCAAGUAGAAAUUCAAAUGAAGCUGCAGGAGCCAUGCCUACUUAUGUAGACGAACCCUUCUACAGUGAGCCUGAUAAAUUUAUUGGCAGUUCUUUUGAUGGGCUGCCAUCAGAUUAUAUUGGGAUUAACAGUCCAAUUCUUGACAUUGAUGAGCUGUUGCGAGAUGAUGAUAUAAUGGAGUAUUUGGGAACAUAAGAUGGCUAUGAAGAAAACAAGGCAUUGUGAAGAAAAUUAGUUCAAGUUCAGUCUGGUUGUGUUGUGAAAUUAAUUUAAGAAGUCAGACCAUCCUGAUUAGUCCUCUAGGACUGCACUUGGGGAAAUAUGGAGGUCUGCCAAGCAUCUGGAUGAUGUGCCUGAUGGAGACAAGAGGCAAUGCCCAUUUGUCACACUGCUGAGAGUUCUAGAGAUCAAUGCUGUCGAGAUCUGGUCUCCAACUUUGGUUCAAGUUAGAAGGGCUUGUGCCCAACCUGCACGCCUCUGGAGGAAGAUUUCCUUCCUAGGUGCAACUAACUCUAUUGGGAUAUUACUGAGACUUGUAGACAGGCCAAAUUAACCACUAGGCAGAUCACUAGCUAUGAAAGGGAAGUUGGGCAGGCUGGUAUAGCAAAACAGUCUUUUGCUGUAUUCUUUACAUCAACCAUCCGAUCUAGUCUCCUGAUUCCAUGCACCUAAGUCAGGCUACUGGGGUUGGACGGAUCCGAGCCCAGCCAGAAUAAUGAGUUGACUCCUUGUGAAAUGGUCAUGUUCAAUGGGUGGUUUUGGUCUAAAUUUGGACCCAUAUGUUCUUUUUGUGGGUUGGAUUAAAUCUGACUGCAACUGAAGCAAAGGCAGGCUAAGUGUGCUUAUUCUUUAUUUUCCAACUCUACAGCUUAGUGAUGUUAAAAUGUUAAAAAAAUUAUAGCUUUUUGAUGUUGAUUGUUU